rnacentral:tRNA from 1 species
GGUAAAGUGAUUUGUAUGUUGGACUACAGCUCCAGAGACCAGGGUUCAAAUCUCUGCUUAGCCA